rnacentral:rRNA from 1 species
UGUGCCAGCUGCUGCGGUUAGACAAAAAAUGCAAAUAAAUAAUUUCGGAAUUAGUAAAAUAUUUAAUAAUUUAGAUAAGAAUGAUUAAUUUAUUAGGUGAAAUUUUAAAUUAAUUUAAUUAUUUAUUAAAUAAAUUGAGGCUGAAAAAUUUUAUAAAUAAACUAGGAUUAGAUACCCUAUUAUUAUAAAUAUAAUUAUAAUUUCUUGAAUAGUAUUAGUUAUGAUCUUGAAACUUAAAAAAUUUGGCGGUAUUUUAGUCUAUUCAGAGGAGCCUGUUCUGUAAUUGAUAAUCCACGAUGUACCUCACUUAAUUUUGUUAAAUUUGUAUACCGCCGUCGUCAGAAUAUUUUAAAAGAAAAAUAAUUUUCUAAUACUUUAAUUAAAGAUUAUGUCAGGUCAAGGUGCAGUUUAUAGUUAAGAAGAAAUGGGCUACAAUAAAUUUAUUUAAAUGGAUUUUUGAGUGAAAAAUUAAAUUGAAAGUGGAUUUGAUAGUAAAAUAAAAUAGAUAAUUUAUUUGAUUAUAGCUCUAAAAUAUGCACAUAUCGCCCGUCGCUCUCGUUAUUAAAAUGAGAUAAGUCGUAACAUAGUAGAUGUACCGGAAGGUGUAUCUAGAAUGAC